rnacentral:rRNA from 1 species
GAUGAACGCUGGCGGCGUGCUUAACACAUGCAAGUCGAACGGGAAAUAUUUCAUUGAGACUUCGGUGGAUUUGAUCUAUUUCUAGUGGCGGACGGGUGAGUAACGCGUGGGUAACCUGCCUUAUACGGGGGGAUAACAGUCAGAAAUGGCUGCUAAUACCGCAUAAAGCGCACAGAGCUGCAUGGCUCAGUGUGAAAAACUCCGGUGGUAUAAGAUGGACCCGCGUUGGAUUAGCUAGUUGGUGGGGUAACGGCCCACCAAGGCGACGAUCCAUAGCCGGCCUGAGAGGGUGAACGGCCACAUUGGGACUGAGACACGGCCCAGACUCCUACGGGAGGCAGCAGUGGGGAAUAUUGCACAAUGGGGGAAACCCUGAUGCAGCGACGCCGCGUGAAGGAAGAAGUAUCUCGGUAUGUAAACUUCUAUCAGCAGGGAAGAUAGUGACGGUACCUGACUAAGAAGCCCCGGCUAACUACGUGCCAGCAGCCGCGGUGAUACGUAGGGGGCAAGCGUUAUCCGGAUUUACUGGGUGUAAAGGGAGCGUAGACGGUGUGGCAAGUCUGAUGUGAAAGGCAUGGGCUCAACCUGUGGACUGCAUUGGAAACUGUCAUACUUGAGUGCCGGAGGGGUAAGCGGAAUUCCUAGUGUAGCGGUGAAAUGCGUAGAUAUUAGGAGGAACACCAGUGGCGAAGGCGGCUUACUGGACGGUAACUGACGUUGAGGCUCGAAAGCGUGGGGAGCAAACAGGAUUCGAUACCCUGGUAGUCCACGCCGUAAACG